AUACCUUUCUCGGCCUUUUGGCUAAAAUCAAGUGUAGUAUCUGUUCUUAUUAGUUUAAUAUCCGAUACGUGGGCCAUUGGUUCACAUGACAUUAAAUUAAUCUUUUCAAGGGUAGAGGCCGCCGCAGUAGCUUGCUACUGGCCUCUUGAGCAUCGGGGGCAUUGCACUACUGCCCUUGCCAGGCGCACCUGAC